AAUAUAUUAAAGUGUGAGCUUCUCUAAUACUUAUAACCAAGUAGAUACUAAAAUAUUAUGCAGGCCAGUUUCGUGAGAUGUGUAGAACUAGCAUCAGCUAAAGAGUUUCAGGUUUUCUUUUAGUGGCCCAGAUAAAAAAUGUUAAAUUAAUUUCCUUGAAUAAUUUGGUAAAGUUGAUGGUAGGUAUUCAGCACCAUGGCGAAAGAGGGGGAGCAGCUCUCAAAAUCUAGUAGAUAGUAUCCAGAUCCUAAAUUUAUGUCACCAAAUGACUCACAGAAGACUUAAUGAUUUAGCUGUUCUCAUCCCUGAGCCAUAUAUGAUAAAAGCUUUGAUUGUGGAUUAUGGAAAUUAAAUAGACUCAAUAUAAAGUUUGUACUGUUUGGGAAAUGGAAUGGGCUGCAUUGUAAACUAAUGAGCUUUCCAUCUUUUGAAGCGUUUAAGUAAAGGCUCAAUGACUACUUUUCAAUAAUUUGAUGGAAGGAAUUCUUACAUUUGGGAGGAAUUAGACUAAAGAAUCUUCCAUACCUAGUUCAAUUCUAGAGUUCUAAAAUUAAAGGAUGUGAAGAAAUAGAGUUGAAGAUUAAGUGAUGAUAAUAGCACAUGGCUAUUGUAUAAUUAGAUGGACUUUACAAAGAAAGACUCAUAAAUGGGUAUUUGGAAGGAAUCUGAAAAAGAAAGGCAUGCCAUGGUAUUUUAAGUAGACAGUGAUAAACAACAAAAUGAUGUACAUACAUCUCUUCUAGUAUUAGAAGUUGUAAGAGAAAGGAACCUACUCUAAAAUGCUCAGCAAAGAGAGCAUAAGGAAAAUGAAAAAGGGAGCCUUUUUAAAGACUGAGAACUCAAAUGGAUUUUAAGAGUGCUAGAAAUAGAAACCAAAGGAUUUUUAUAUCUGCAUUACUUACAGGAAGGGAACAAAACAAGUAGGAAAACAAAACUGUAGUUUAUUGGAGCUAGAUAGUCGAUAGACUUUUGAAAAGGUUCUGUUUGACUUAGGAAGGACACUUAAUGAGUAGUUUCUACAAGGAAAGGAUGUGGCCCCAGCACAUUGUGAGCAAGAUGGUCUUUGCACACAUCUUUUAACAGACAAAUAAAAAAGGGAGAAUUGGGGAAGAAAAAGACCCAGGAGUCAAGCUAGGAUACAAUGGAAAAGUCCUUGGGAGGGUUAACAGUAGAAACAGAAGGACUUUGUUGAGUGAACGUGGUAGAAAUCCUAUCUUCAAGAAAUGUAUUAAGUUCUCCCCACUUCUGUUGGAAGAGCAUAAUAAUUGUAUGGGGAUAAAAAAGCACAAUGUGAAUAUGGAAUGAUGAGAGCCCCUGACCAAUACGUGGCUUUGGGACAGUUAUUGAAUUUCUCAAGAUCUCUCAUUGUUUCAGAUAUUAGGAAGGUAGAUUUUUUCCAGCUCUGAGAUUCUCUCCUGGUGCCUCAUUAAGACUGAAUUAGGUACACACUCCAUAACCUAAAAACUCAGACAAAAUGAUUUAGUUUGCACCACCUGGUUUAUUGUGGCCUAUAGAUAAUAAGUAACAGGUAGAAAACGGAUAAUUUUGUGACGAUUCCAAAGUGUGAAAGUUAUGGAGAAAUCUCCUGCAUGGGCAGAUGAGAACUGAAGAUACCAGCGAUGCUGACGAAAUGAAGUGUAGAACAGGAGUUCCCGUCGUGGCGCAGUGGUUAACGAACCCUACUGGGAACCAUGAGGUUGCGGGUUCGAUCCCUGCCCUUGCUCAGUGGGUUAACGAUGAUCCGGCGUUGCCGUGAGCUGUGGUGUAGGCUGCAGACGCGGCUCGGAUCCAGCGUUGCUGUGGCUCUGGCGUAGGCUGGUGGCUACAGCUCCAAUUCGACCCCUAGCCUGGGAACCUCCAUAUGCUGCGAGAGCGGCCCAAGAAAAUGGCAAAAAGAC
rnacentral:lncRNA from 1 species